UCCCUCUCAGGAUCGCAUCUGGAGAGUUUCCUCUAUUCUACCAGUCUCGACUAUAGGAGGGAGAGUCAGCAGGGACCUGCCUAUUCCAUUCCUAGCUUGGACAGUGGCCAGCGAGUGGAAGGCAAUUUGCUACAAGU